AGUAUAUAACCGGCCUUCAGACCUUGCCUCAACGCCGCAGUGUUUAUCCAGUUUGGAAUCCAGUUUCCCUUGUAAGCUCUGGAUGAGCUUAACCUGCCGAGCCUGCCCUUUGAGCCAAACCUGAAGACUCUUCUCUGGAUUCUCAUGCUGCUCUGGACUAAGAGCUGGAAACCCAAAGUCAAGGUCUGCCCUCACGCUAGAAGCAAGACGCUGAAGCGGUUACUGAACUCUGCUGAACUAAACAAUCUCUGGACCCAACAGUUCCUCUCUCAAAGCCAAACCCGGACUCCUCAAGACUCCAGUGAACCUGCCCCCAGGCCUGAACCAGUUCCUGUGUUAAUUCCAUGUG